CAAACGUCCAGUCAUGUUAGAGAGUAUUACACCAUUCCCAAAGAAACAGUGACGACUUUAUUCUCUCAUGGUUUGCCUAAACCACCGUUUCUGGAUGAGGUUAAGACAUUGGGAGAGUUUAACAUCAUGAUCAGACAGCCAGCCAUCUCAAUCCUGGAGAGCAUUAAGUCAGAUGAAUCUGGUGCUUCGAAAUAUGUGAUUUAUGGUCAAGAUGGUUGUGGUAAAACUAUGACGCUAUCACAUGUUCUUCAUAAUUGUUUUCUUAAAGAAUGGCUUAUACUGUUCAU